ACAGCCUGAAAAUGGUUUGUCUCUUUUUGAAACUCUCCUUGUGGGGGUCAGUUGUGUCCCUUUACAGAAAACUAGCAUCCUCUGGAUCUGCAAACCAAGAUUUCUGUAUUUCUCAUCUAUUUGGCUUGAGUGCCGCAGGAUCUUGAAGGGAGCAGCUGCAUCGCAAGAUGCCCUGAAGGAAUUCUGGAAGUCCCCGACCCUUCGGGAGUUCGGUAUAGUUGGUAUGAAGAGAAUGGGAAAAGGAUUGAAGAUUUCUGCAAGAAUUGGGUGAAAACCAUCAAUUCCCCCCCCCCACUUUGAAAAGGUGUGUAUGGAUGCUUUUUUCCUAGUUAAUAGGAGACACAAGACUGUAUCUAAAGAAGAGGCUGUUGAAGGUCAUUUUCAUCGCCUUCUCAGGCUCACAAUCUAAGAAGGCACACUGGGGGAGAGGGAGAGAAGAGAGGCGUGAUGGGUACCAGCAUUUAAGCGGUCAA
rnacentral:lncRNA from 1 species